UACGUAGGGCGCAAGCGUUGUCCGGAAUUAUUGGGCGUAAAGAGCUCGUAGGCGGUCUGUCGCGUCCGUUGUGAAAACUCGAGGCUCAACCUCGGGCUUGCAGUGGAUACGGGCAGACUAGAGUGCGGUAGGGGAGACUGGAAUUCCUGGUGUAGCGGUGAAAUGCGCAGAUAUCAGGAGGAACACCGGUGGCGAAGGCGGGUCUCUGGGCCGAUACUGACGCUGAGGAGCGAAAGCGUGGGGAGCGAACAGG
rnacentral:rRNA from 1 species